rnacentral:sRNA from 1 species
UGCGGACGCACACGCGCUGCGGCAGCUGACAGUUUCAGUAAACCACGGAGACGAACGGAUUACGGCUCUCUGGGAACAAAGCGCAGCGUUCGAAGUAAUCGCCGUCGUCUUGGCUGUUGUUAAGCCACCACUCCAGCAUCCUCCCGCUUAAAAACAAAAACCAAAAACAAAAACAAAACAAAGCCCAAGGAACUCAAAAACCAAAAACAAAAAUAACACCAAGUAAUACUUAUAAAAAACAAAAACAAAAAAUUCAUCUUCUACUUGUUCUUCUGCUUCAACUUUCUUCGUCUUCGUCUCCGUUAUAAAUAUAUAUAUAUACAUAUAUCAUAUACAUACAUACAUAUAUAUCCGUGUGUGUGUGUGUUUGCGACGCGUGUGUACUGGUGCAUGUGAAUGUGUGAGCUACAACAAUCACUAAAACAACAACAACAACAA